GCGAACGGAUGAGAAGCUUGCUUCUCUGAUGUUAGCGGCGGACGGGUGAGUAACACGUGGAUAACCUACCUAUAAGACUGGGAUAACUUCGGGAAACCGGAGCUAAUACCGGAUAAUAUUUUGAACCGCAUGGUUCAAAAGUGAAAGACGGUCUUGCUGUCACUUAUAGAUGGAUCCGCGCUGCAUUAGCUAGUUGGUAAGGUAACGGCUUACCAAGGCAACGAUGCAUAGCCGACCUGAGAGGGUGAUCGGCCACACUGGAACUGAGACACGGUCCAGACUCCUACGGGAGGCAGCAGUAGGGAAUCUUCCGCAAUGGGCGAAAGCCUGACGGAGCAACGCCGCGUGAGUGAUGAAGGUCUUCGGAUCGUAAAACUCUGUUAUUAGGGAAGAACAUAUGUGUAAGUAACUGCGCACAUCUUGACGGUACCUAAUCAGAAAGCCACGGCUAACUACGUGCCAGCAGCCGCGGUAAUACGUAGGUGGCAAGCGUUAUCCGGAAUUAUUGGGCGUAAAGCGCGCGUAGGCGGUUUUUUAAGUCUGAUGUGAAAGCCCACGGCUCAACCGUGGAGGGUCAUUGGAAACUGGAAAACUUGAGUGCAGAAGAGGAAAGUGGAAUUCCAUGUGUAGCGGUGAAAUGCGCAGAGAUAUGGAGGAACACCAGUGGGCGAAGGCGACUUUCUGGUCUGUAACUGACGCUGAUGUGCGAAAGCGUGGGGAUCAAACAGGAUUAGAUACCCUGGUAGUCCACGCCGUAAACGAUGAGUGCUAAGUGUUAGGGGGUUUCCGCCCCUUAGUGCUGCAGCUAACGCAUUAAGCACUCCGCCUGGGGAGUACGACCGCAAGGUUG
rnacentral:rRNA from 1 species